rnacentral:piRNA from 1 species
GCAAUGAUACAAAUAACUUCACUUUCAAAUA